rnacentral:rRNA from 1 species
AUCGAACGCUGGCGGCAGGCCUAAUACAUGCAAGUCGAGCGGAGCGGCGGACGGGCGAGUAAUGCCUAGGAAUCUGACUGGUCGUGGGGGAUAACGUCAGGAAACGGGCGCUAAUAUCGCAUACUAUCAGAUGAGCCUAGGUAGGAUUCGCUAGUUGGUGGGGUAAUGGCUUACCAAGGCGACGAUCCGUACCUGGUCUGAGAGGAUGAUCAGUCACACUGGAACUGGGCCACGGUCCAAACUCCUACGGGAGGCAGCAGUGGGGAAUAUUGGACAAUGGGCGAAAGCCUGAUCCAGCCAGGCCGCGGGUGUGAAGAAGGUCUUCGGAUUGUAAAGCACUUUAAGUUGGGAGGCGUUACCAACAGAAUAAGCACCGGCUAACUUCGUGCCAGCAGCCGCGGUAAUUC